CUGGAUUGAAUGGACAAGAGGGACCAACAGGACUAAAGGGAGAGUUUGGUAUUAAAGGAAAUAUUGGGCCCCAGGGUCAAAAAGGGCCAAAAGGAUCAGCUGGAGAGAGGGGAAACCAUGGUCCAUUAGGCAUGGGAGGACCCCCAGGAAAACAGGGUAAUACAGGUGUACCAGGUGAAAGAGGGAAUCAAGGAGUACAUGGGUUGAAGG